GCCAUUGUGGCUCAGUUGGUUGGAGCAUCAUCCUGUACACUGAAAGGUUUCAGGUUCGAUUCCUGGUCAGGGCA
rfam:Myotis brandtii contig251513, whole genome shotgun sequence.